GACGAACGCUGGCGGCGUGCUUAACACAUGCAAGUCGAACGGUGAAGCGCCUUCCUUUUUGGUGGGUGUGGAUGAGUGGCGAACGGGUGAGUAACACGUGAGUAACCUGCCCCCUUCUUCUGGAUAACCGCAUGAAAGUGUGGCUAAUACGGGAUAUUCUGGGUCUGUCGCAUGAUGGGUCUGGGAAAGAUAUUGUUUCGGUGGGGGAUGGGCUCGCGGCCUAUCAGCUUGUUGGUGGGGUGAUGGCCUACCAAGGCGGUGACGGGUAGCCGGCCUGAGAGGGUGGACGGUCACACUGGGACUGAGACACGGCCCAGACUCCUACGGGAGGCAGCAGUGGGGAAUAUCGCACAAUGGGCGCAAGCCUGAUGCAGCGACGCCGCGUGAGGGAUGGAGGCCUUCGGGUUGUGAACCUCUUUCGCCAGUGAAGCAGGCCUGCCUCGUUUGUGGGUGGGUUGACGGUAGCUGGAUAAGAAGCGCCGGCUAACUACGUG
rnacentral:rRNA from 1 species